AAAAAGUUAGUAUAUAAUAAUUAUAAUUGGUUGUCGGCCAAUAGAUGAGAGUUUACUCCCACUUUUUG
rnacentral:tRNA from 1 species